UCUCUCUCUCACACAUACACAUACACACACACACAGAGUCAGGAUACGGAUGACGCGUUUGGGGAAGGGGCAGGUCAGGUGGAUCCUGGCGCUGAAAGGCGACAUUGAGAAGCUUGUCUCUCAGGCGUGGUCACCUCCUUAGAAUCCUCAUUGCUGUGUCCAGAACGCGUCUUGUAGAAAUUUGUCUCAAAUUAAUUGUGACCUGAAGGCACCUUCCGUCUGUGGGAGCACCAGGUGGGUCUUCGGAUCCCUUCAUGGGGUUUCCUCCUGGAGCCACAUGGUCCCCGAGUGACUUCGUGUGAGCCCAAGCCUCCUCCGCGAGCACAGGGCAGAGGGGCCUGUUCACACACACACAGGGUGUGAAGGGUGUGCAGACCUUGCUGAAAGUGGGUUCCUCAACCGAGAGGUCACCCACAGUGAGCACUCUGCCUAAGGCUGCCACCAGAGCAGGGUCACCUGAACAGGAGCCGGUCCUGUGGCUGGAGCCUCUUGCAGACCCGAAUGUUGGGCACUGUUGUGAGCUUUGCCAGGCUGACCCCCAGGGCCGCGUGUCUGCUGCUCUUGAGCUGAAACCAAAUGCAUAUAGCAAGUGCCGCUAUUGAAUGAAUUGUUUUCUGUUUGUCGAUGUUGUCAUUGAUUCUGCAGUGAUGAUUUCUGCUGGGAAACCUUGAGGCUGCUUCUUCCAGAAUUGUCUCUUCAUGAGCUUCAACAAAACUGGAGGGAAAGCCUGCUACUUAGAAUGAAAUAGGGAAUGAAGCCCAAACACUAGAGCAGGUCAGUGUAAACCAGCAUGAUGGGCAGAGAAGAGAAAGAGGAUUACGCGGAGCCCAUGCUGGGCCUGAUGGCUUCCUGACUUGAUGGAAGGGCUCUUGCCAGGUUCCGGAUGCCCCCGAGACCACCUCAGCCUGUAGACUGGCACAACUUCAUCUCCUAGCAAGUUGCUUGGUGGUGAGGAGCCUCUGGACCACGGAGGCUCAGCAAACAGCAGUGCCCAGCCAGAACCACAUCGCCCAAGCCCUGGCCCCAUGCCUACAUCCACGUGGUACCACAGUGAGACCCUGAGUCUCCACCUGAGCAGACCCCGGGGCCAGCGGCGGGUCUCCAGUGACCAUGCACGCAUCCCUACCGCCAGCCUGCGCGACAAAAGUGCCUCCACAUCUUCAUCAAGCAACAAAAAAGGGCAACGGAGCUGGUUCCUCAGAAAACUGAUGCAGUUAAAGCACUAUCCUUUAACAGCCAUGCUUUUCCUCCACUUUCAGUACUGAAAUAUACCUCCAUGAAAUGAA